rnacentral:tmRNA from 1 species
GGGGGUGUUCCGGAUUCGACCCUUGGUUAGAGUGCGCAGCUGCCUAUCGAGAGCCGAAGGCCUCUCGUAAAUCCCCCUUCGAAACAAACAAACGGCAACAACGAAGAAAUGCUAAUGGCGGCUUAAUGUCCGCCACGUUUCCACCACGACUCCUGCUGGUGGAUGGAAGCGUCGACAGCAGGAAUAGCGGUGAGGGCCGUCAUGACCUCGCCGCCGUAUCUUCAACCAUGGCUGGCCAAAGCAGGAGCGCGCGUCCACGCGCCUGCCGAGGCGAGAUCCAAACCGACGCUAUGUAGGUAGAUGCUGUGCAUGAAGACCCGGGGCACAGGGGUUCAACUCCCCUCACCUCCACCA